rfam:Pongo abelii chromosome 16.
GCUGGGCAUGGUGGCGCAUGCCUGUAGUCCUAGCUCCUUGGGAGGCUGAGGCAGGAUGAUUGCUUAUGACCAGGAGUUUGGGCUGCAAUGAACUAUGAUCACCCCACUGCUUGCCAGCCUGGGCAACAGAGUGAGACCUUGUCUCAA